UACAGAGGGGGCAAGCGUUGUUCGGAAUUACUGGGCGUAAAGAGCUCGUAGGCGGUUGUCGCGUCUGCUGUGAAAACCUAAGGCUCAACCUUGGGCUUGCAGUGGGUACGGGCAGACUAGAGUGCGGUAGGGGUGACUGGAAUUCCUGGUGUAGCGGUGGAAUGCGCAGAUAUCAGGAGGAACACCGAGUGGCGAAGGCAGGUCACUGGGCCGCAACUGAC
rnacentral:rRNA from 1 species